AACGAACGCUGGCGGCGUACCUAACACAUGCAAGUCGUACGAGAAAUUCCGAUUCGUCGGGAGAGUAAAGUGGCGAACGGGUGAGUAAGAUGAGGGUAAUCUGCCCUUAAAUCAGGGAUAACCUUGCGAAAGCGAAGCUAAUACCUGAUAAGACUACGAUCUGUUAGCAGAUAGUAGUAAAGAUGGCCUCUGUUUCAUGCUAUCGUUUAAGGAUGAGCCCUUAUACUAUUAGCUAGUUGGUGAGGUAACGGCUCACCAAGGCAACGAUGGUUAGCUGGUCUGAGAGGAUGACCAGCCACACUGGAACUGAGAUACGGUCCAGACACCUACGGGAGGCAG
rnacentral:rRNA from 1 species